rnacentral:rRNA from 1 species
AUGAAUUUUAAACAACUUUAUCAUGAGCAUGUUGCCCAAUCUUGGGAAAGAAUGAAAUUGAUGAUUCGCAAUUGCCCUACUCAUGGUUUGAAUUUAUGGAUGAUCAUACAAAAAAAUUAUGCCGGUUUGAACUUUGCUUCUAGAAAUCUCUUAGAUUCGGUCGCGGGAGGCACGUUUAUGGAAAUCACGUUAGGGGAUGCUACAAAACUUCUUGAUAACAUUAUGGCUAAUUAUUCUCAAUGGCACACUGAAAGAUCUUCUAGUAAAAAAGUGCAUGCUAUAGAAGAAAUCAAUGUUUUGAGUGGAAAGAUGGAUGAACUUAUGAAGUUGUUUGCUACUAAAAAUACUCCUCUUGAUCCCAAUGAUAUGCCUUUGUCUACUUUGAUUGAGAAUAAUAAUGAAUCUAUGGAUGUGAAUUUUGUUGGUAGGAAUAGUUUUGGAAACAAUGCUUAUAGAGGAAACUUUAAUGCUAGACCAUUCCCUAGUAAUUCCUCUAAUAAUUACGGAAAUUCCUACAAUAAUUCUUAUGGCAAUUUUAAUAAGAUGCCCUCUGAUUUUGAGAAUAGUGUGAAAGAAUUUAUGAUUUCUCAAAAGAAUUUUAAUGCUUUGCUUGAAGAAAAAUUGCUCAAAAUUGAUGAUUUGGCUAGGAACGUUGAUAGACUUUCGCUUGAUGUUGAUUCUCUUAAAAUUAGAUCUUCUUCUCCUAAGCAUGAUAUCACUGAGUCUCUCAAAGCAAUGAGAAUUUCCAUUGAUGAGUGUAAGGAAAGAACCACUAGAUUGCGUGCUAAAAAAGAUAUGUUUACUGAUGCGUCUCCUAUUAGAUCUAUGUUUUGUAAUAUGAAUCUUGAUAAUUAUGGGACUGAUGAUGAGUCAACUUUACCUAGAAGGCGUCCCAAGAAUUCGGAGUUUUUAGAUCUUGAUGCUAAAUUUGGUAAAAGUGGGAUUGGAGAGGUCAUGACUUUAAAUAGUAUUGAACCCACUAUCUCGGAUUUCAAGGAAUUUAAUUAUGAUAAUUGUUAUUUAGAAGGUGGUAUUUCCUUGUUGCAAUCCGUUGUUAAUUCUCCUCAUGCUUAUAGUCAAAAUAAAGCUUUUACCAAACAUAUCGUUGAUGCCUUGAUGCAAUCUUUUAAUGAAAAACUUAAUUUGGAAGUUUCUAUACCUAGAAAACUUAAUGAUGAGUGGGAACCUACUAUAAAGAUUAGAAUUAAAGAUUAUGAGUGUUUUGCUUUGUGUGAUUUGGGUGCUAGUGUUUCCAUGAUUCCGAAAACUUUAUGUGAUAUUCUAGGUUUCCAUGAUCUUGAUUUAUUGCUCUUUAAAUUUGCACCUUGCGGAUUCCACCAUUAA